GAUGAACGCUGGCGGCGUGCCUAAUACAUGCAAGUCGAGCGAACGGACGAGAAGCUUGCUUUUCUGAUGUUAGCGGCGGACGGGUGAGUAACACGUGUAUAACCUACCUAUAAGACUGGGAUAACUUCGGGAAUCCGGAGCUAAUACCGGAGAAUAUUUUGAACCGCAUUGUUCAAAGGUGAAAGACGGUCUUGCUGGCACUUCUAGAUGGAUCCGCGCUUCAUUGGCUAGUUGGUGGGGUAGUGGCUUACCAAGGCAAUGACGGGUAGCCGGCCUGAGAGGGUGACCGGCCACAUUGGGACUGAGGUACGGCCCAGACGCCUACGGGAGGCAGCAGUGGGGAAUAUUGCACAAUGGGCGGAAGCCUGAUGCAGCAACGCCGCGUGCGGGAUGACGGCCUUCGGGUUGUAAACCGCUUUCGCCUGUGACGAAGCGUGAGUGACGGUAAUGGGUAAAGAAGCACCGGCUAACUACGUG
rnacentral:rRNA from 1 species